rnacentral:rRNA from 1 species
GACAGAGGUGCCAAGCGUUAGGCGGAAUCACUGGGCUUAAAGCGUGUGUAGGCGGAAUGGUAAGUACCUUGUGAAAUCCCACGGCUCAACCGUGGAACUGCUGGGUAUACUGCUUUUCUUGAGCCACUUAGGGGCUGUCGGAACAAACGGUGGAGCGGUGAAAUGCGUAGAUAUCGUUUGGAACGCCAAUGGUGAAAACAGACAGCUGGGAGUGCUGCUGACGCUGAGACACGAAAGCCAGGGGAGCGAACGGG